rnacentral:rRNA from 1 species
AAGCGUGCGUAGGCGGCUCGUUAAGUCAGAUGUGAAAGCCCUGGGCUCAACCUGGGAACUGCAUUUGAAACUGGCGAGCUAGAGUUUAAGAGAGGUAAGUGGAAUUUCAGGUGUAGCGGUGAAAUGCGUAGAGAUCUGAAGGAACACCAGUGGCGAAGGCGACUUACUGGCUUAAAACUGACGCUGAGGUACGAAAGCGUGGGUAGCAAACAGGAUUAGAUACCCUGGUAGUCCACGCCGUAAACGAUGUCAACUAGCCGUUGGCUCUCUUUGAGAGUUAGUGGCGCAGCUAACGCAUUAAGUUGACCGCCUGGGGAGUACGGCCGCAAGGUUAAAACUCAAAUGAAUUGACGGGGGCCCGCACAAGCGGUGGAGUAUGUGGUUUAAUUCGAUGCAACGCGAAGAACCUUACCUACCCUUGACAUGUCGAGAAUCUUUCAGAGAUGAGAGAGUGCCUUCGGGAACUCGAACACAGGUGCUGCAUGGCUGUCGUCAGCUCGUGUCGUGAGAUGUUGGGUUAAGUCCCGUAACGAGCGCAACCCUUGUCCUUAGUUGCCAGCGGGUAAUGCCGGGAACUCUAGGGAGACUGCCAGUGAUAAACUGGAGGAAGGUGGGGACGACGUCAAGUCAUCAUGGCCCUUAUGGGUAGGGCUACACACGUGCUACAAUGGUCGGUACAAAGGGCUGCAAGCUCGCGAGAGUAAGCGAAUCCCACAAAGCCGAUCGUAGUCCGGAUGGGAGUCUGCAACUCGACUCC